rnacentral:rRNA from 1 species
AGUGAACGCUGGCGGUAGGCCUAACACAUGCAAGUCGAACGGCAGCACAGUAAGAGCUUGCCCUUACGGGUGGCGAGUGGCGGACGGGUGAGGAAUACAUCGGAAUCUACUUUUUCGUGGGGGAUAACGUAGGGAAACUUACGCUAAUACCGCAUACGACCUACGGGUGAAAGCAGGGGAUCUUCGGACCUUGCGCGAUUGAAUGAGCCGAUGUCGGAUUAGCUAGUUGGCGGGGUAAAGGCCCACCAAGGCGACGUUCCGUAGCUGGUCUGAGAGGAUGAUCAGCCAAACUGGAACUGAGACACGGUCCAGACUCCUACGGGAGGCAGCAGUGGGGAAUAUUGGACAAUGGGCGCAAGCCUGAUCCAGCCAUACCGCGUGGGUGAAGAAGGCCUUCGGGUUGUAAAGCCCUUUUGUUGGGAAAGAAAAGCAGCAGGUUAAUACCCCGCUGUUCUGACGGUACCCAAAGAAUAAGCACCGGCUAACUUCGUG